rnacentral:rRNA from 1 species
UACGUAGGGGGCAAGCGUUGUCCGGAAUCAUUGGGCGUAAAGCGCGUGUAGGCGGCUAGGGAAGUCUGCUCUGAAAGCCCGGGGCUCAACCCCGGGAGGCGGGUGGAUACUGUCUAGCUCGAGUCCGGAAGAGGAGUGUGGAAUUCCUGGUGUAGCGGUGAAAUGCGCAGAUAUCAGGAGGAACACCAAUGGCGAAGGCAGCACUCUGGGACGUGACUGACGCUGAGACGCGAAAGCGUGGGGAGCAAACAGG